UCUUUCUUCAGGAACUGCUGUCUGUAUCUCUGAGCUUCACGAUUCGCCUCCUCCAGCUGCUUCAGAAGAGACACUUUUUCCUGUUAGACACACACAGAUUUGCUGCUGUUUCCAGGUGAGACGAGUCCAGCGAGGUUCACGACUCCUCCCGGGCCGAUGAUGAACUGUGGUGUAGUUGUGUGAAUAGUCAGUGUAUCUGGACUCUCUGGUCUCACCCAGUCGGUAGUGAAUGGAGCUCCAUUGGCCAUCAGUAUCCGAACCUCAUCGUCCUGACCAGCACGAGCUGCUUCUAGAAGCUUCUUUCCCAAAUCCACCAGAGACAUCUACAACAUCACACUCCAGUUAUCCACCACAUUCAUGUGUAAUAUCAUAACAACAGUAUCAGCACAAACAUACAAACACAAGCUCUUGAAUGUGUGAAAUAUUCACUGAGUAGAUGAC